rnacentral:rRNA from 1 species
AUUGAACGCUGGCGGCAGGCCUAACACAUGCAAGUCGAACGAGUGGCGGACGGGUGAGUAAUGUCUGGGAAACUGCCCGAUGGAGGGGGAUAACUACUGGAAACGGUAGCUAAUACCGCAUACCAUCGGAUGUGCCCAGAUGGGAUUAGCUAGUAGGUGGGGUAACGGCUCACCUAGGCGACGAUCCCUAGCUGGUCUGAGAGGAUGACCAGCCACACUGACACUGAGGCACGGUCCAACCUCCUACGGGAGGCAACAGUGGGCAAUAUUGCACAAUGGGCGCAAUCCCGAUGCAGCCAUACCGCAUGUAUGCAGAGGGCCUUCGGGUUUUAAAGUACUUUCAGCGAGGAGGCGUUACUCGCAGAAGAAGCACCGGCUAACUCCGUGCCAGCCGCCGCGGUAAUUC